rnacentral:rRNA from 1 species
AUUGAACGCUGGCGGCAUGCCUUACACGUGCAAGUCGAACGGCAGCGGGGGAGAAGCUUGCUUUUCCUGCCGGCGAGUGGCGAACGGGUGAGUAAUACAUCGGAACGUGCCCUGUAGUGGGGGAUAACUAGUCGAAAGAUUAGCUAAUACCGCAUACGACCUGAGGGUGAAAGUGGGGGCCGCCAGGCCUCAUGCUUUAGGAGCGGCCGAUGUCUGAUUAGCUAGGUGGCGGGGUAAAGGCCUACCAAGGCGACGAUCAGUAGCUGGUCUGAGAGGACGAUCAGCCACACUGGGACUGAGACACGGCCCAGACUCCUACGGGAGGCAGCAGUGGGGAAUUUUGGACAAUGGGCGAAAGCCUGAUCCAGCAAUGCCGCGUGUGUGAAGAAGGCCUUCGGGUUGUAAAGCACUUUUGUCCGGGAAGAAAUGGCUCUGGUUAAUACCUGGGGUCGAUGACGGUACUGGAAGAAUAAGGACCGGCUAACUACGUGCCAGCAGCCGCGGUAA